rnacentral:rRNA from 1 species
AGUGAACGCUGGCGGUAGGCCUAACACAUGCAAGUCGAACGGCCGCACAGUAAGAGCUUGCUCUUACGGGUGGCGAGUGGCGGACGGGUGAGGAAUACAUCGGAAUCUACUUUUUCGUGGGGGAUAACGUAGGGAAACUUACGCUAAUACAGCAUACGACCUACGGGUGAAAGCAGGGGAGCUUCGGACCUUUCGCGAUUGAAUGAGCCGAUGUCGGAUUAGCUAGUUGGCGGGGUAAAGGCCCACCAAGGCAACGAUCCGUAGCUGGUCUGAGAGGAUGAUCAGCCACACUGGAACUGAGACACGGUCCAGACUCCUACGGGAGGCAGCAGUGGGGAAUAUUGGACAAUGGGCGAAAGCCUGAUCCAGCCAUACCGCGUGGGUGAAGAAGGCCUUCGGGUUGUAAAGCCCUUUUGUUGGGAAAGAAAAGCAGCGGGUUAAUACCCCGCUGUUCUGACGGUACCCAAAGAAUAAGCACCGGCUAACUUCGUG